rnacentral:rRNA from 1 species
UACGUAGGGCGCAAGCGUUAUCCGGAAUUAUUGGGCGUAAAGAGCUCGUAGGCGGUUUGUCGCGUCUGCCGUGAAAGUCCGGGGCUCAACCCCCAGCCUGCAGUGGGUACGGGCAGACUAGAGUGCGGUAGGGGAGAUUGGAAUUCCUGGUGUAGCGGUGGAAUGCGCAGAUAUCAGGAGGAACACCGAUGGCGAAGGCAGAUCUCUGGGCCGUAACUGACGCUGAGGAGCGAAAGCAUGGGGAGCGAACAGG